UACGUUACGUAGUAAUUAAAUGUUGAUUCAUUAUAUUUUUAUUACAUUAUAAUAUUGUGUCCUACCAAAGAUGACCUAAUAUCACGAAACAAAUUUUAUUAUUGCAUGCUCGAACACUUCAAAGCAAGAUAUUCAAAGUGCAUCAUAAGUAACAAUAAUACCACUUAACACGCCAAGACAUACGCCAGUGCAUGUAUGACCUAAUAAUAUAUGCCGUUUCAAAUUCCCUUUCUCCAAUGCUAAAGAAAAAAAAAGGAAAAAUAAAAAAAAAA
rnacentral:lncRNA from 1 species